GGGGGCGACCUGGUUUCGACGUGGGUCGCGAAGCAGCACAGGGCAUGCCGAGGACCAGUUCCCUCGUUAAUCCACUGGAAGCCAAACAAACGCCAACGACGAGCGUUUCGCUCUCGCCGCCUAACACCGGCGAGACGCUGCACUAGCCUGCUGAUGGGCUAGGCCGGGCUCCGGUCCGGUGCAGCGCCAUUCACAUCAGCCUCUCCGCGCGAUUUGGUCGCUUGAUCACGCGGAUCCGUCGAAGCGACUGGCCGAGCGCAAGCCUGCCGGCCGGCGGGCGCGAAGCGAGAUCCAAAUGGCCAGGCUAAGCAUGUAGUCCUGACUGCGGAGGGCUUGCGGACGCGGGUUCGAUUCCCGCCGCCUCCACCA
rnacentral:tmRNA from 1 species